CUCUCAGGUGUGGUGGGCGGGCCGGACCUCGGGCGAUGCUUUCAGCGUUUCAUCUCCGAGCAACCUCACAGGCGUCUUCAGAGCUUUCUCAGGCGCUCGGUUAUUUGCUCCUCAAAACAGUUUCGAAGAGAGAAGAGGCAGAAAUCACUGUCACCUGAAGCAAAUGCCUCAGCUCUCCAUGGUUCGCCUGUAUUCUGCCGUCCCGUCGGCAAUGACUGCAUCCAGGGGAUAGCGCUUCUUGCGGAUGCUGCGCCCGGAGGAGAUGAGGUCGGCGUAGCCACGCUGGUGGGAGAAAGCGUAGGCCGAGCGCCGCGUGGACAUGCCCCGGCGGAACACAUUCUGCCGCCGCUUCCACUGCUCUUCAGCUUUCAACUGCUUUCGGUGCUUCUGAAUCUGCGAAAGCGGGAGAGAUGGGAAAAUACCAACCUGUAAAUUUAAAUGCAGAUGGAAAGAGAACAUGUAUUCCAGCACUCUGAAGGUCAAAUAUGAUGCCAAAAUAAAGUGCAAUGCUUCCAAAAAUUGAAAAAGCAUUCACAAAAGUCCAAUAAGAAGUAUCCAAGCCAAUCUGUUGGGAAACCAGAGAAAAACGGAGCACUCAUUUUGGGGAGUUAGCAAGAAAUAAAGGAUCGAAGGAUUCUGAAAAUAGUAGAAUUCAGCAGUUGAAGCAUGGUAUGUAUGGCUUGAAUACUGAACCAUCAGAAGCUCUCUUUGGCUCAGGCAAGAAAUAGGAACUAUGUUUGGUAUAAGGGAUGAAAAUAGCAUCCAUUCACAUUUGCAAAGCAGCAGAGGCUCAGUUGGAGGAAGAAUGGGAGCCAGGCGGAUGUGCACGCUGGUCUACCUACAGAAAUGCGCACAGUACCAACAGGUACUGAAAACCGUCGCCUAAAGCCACAUACCUGGAAAUUGACUGUUAUUACAAGAGCAGAAGCAAUUGUGACGGCAAAAGACUGGUAGUCUGAGGGCGCCUCUCCAUCCUGUCCCACAGUUUGCAGGUAAGCUCCGAGAGGUAUGAAGAAGAGGAUCAGUGACGUGAAAACCCCGUGCAACAAGCUUACGAAGAAUCUCCUAUAGUUGAACAAUAACAGGGAAAUGUUGAGAUUCUGUCAGAGACAAGGAAGAGGAGCCACCGCCCCAGGCCCUGACAUCCAGUCCAGCCUCUGCCGAGCAGACCAAGGACAGUAUGUGAAGUGAACACUGCCACAGUUUACAGAGUGACUCAAGUCAACUGAACAGAUGUACUUUAUCAGGCCACACUGCUUUUUGUUUGUAUUUUCCUAAAAUCUAAACAUAGGCACCUAGACUUCCCUGCAGUUGCCAACGUGGUUUCAAUUGCCUGUCCGGUAGGCCACUUCAUCAUUCCCUAACUAGCUGAUCGCUUCCUCUUGCCUCUCUAAUGCCACCUGUUCAUUCUCAGAAUUUAGACCAAGGAAAAUAACACCCACCAGCCAUCUUCAGGCACAAGGGGGAGAGAGGGCAGUAUCCAAGGGUCCUUGGAUCCUUGCUAGCGGCAGACCAUGGUGGGCCGCGGUUCCCUCCACUUCUGCUAGACUACACCACUAACCAUGAAACAUGUUAGCAAAUGGUCAGAUUUGUUGGACACUUAAAUUUCACUGUACUUUAUAAACAACAAACAGUUUCUUUCGGUUCAUUGUUCUUGAUGUAGGUAAAAGAGAUGACAGUUUUCACAAAGUUCAAAAAGGCACUUAAUACUUGGGUUAAGCUACUGAGUUCCAGGGAGACCUGAACUUCUUUGAUUUUCAUCCCAAAUGGAUGUCUCCUACAUUAUAUAUAAAAAUGUGUAUCACAUAACAGAGCUUAAUAAAAUUCUGAAAACAACUUAAGAAAAAACAGUCUCUAGGAGGUUAUCUAUGCCAACUUUGUGUGAUCCCUUUUGCUAUCAGUUGGUGAACUCAGAGGAACAAGAGUUUUCAAGUCUCAGUCACAUAAUCGGUAAAUCUGAAAGGGAAUCCCCCUUCCCCGACAUCUAGAAGUCUUCAUUAUAACUGAAGAAAAAUAAUGUUUGAGUCACUUGCCCUUUUGGCACAGUCAUUUAUGUUAAAAGGUACAUAAUGGAAAAUAAACUAGAGCUGGCUACAGAGGAAAGAAAUAGAUCUAACUCAGAGCAAGAAUCGCCAUUUGCAUGGCAGGAUGAACAUGUGCAAAAAACACAGUGGAAAGGAAUUAAACUGGCCGUGGCCACAGACAUAAACAUGAAGAAGUGAGAAGACGUACAUUAUAUAGCGGACUCCUUUUGAGGAAGAUAAAGUUGGAAUAUUCUUAGUAUAUAUCAAGGAGGAGAAGGAAGAGACUCUAAGGAAAGAAAGAGAAGAGUUACGAAACAGGCUGAAUUAAAAGUCUAGUUAUACAUAUAAUGCAUUUAAGCUACCCGGCACCACAGGACAUGUGUAUACAUGCCAUGGAUAGUUCAUCUUAAGAAAAAUACUACAAAGCUAGAGGUGACAUCAGAGAUAAUUUUCUUGUUCUCAAAUGAGAAAACUGAGGCCUGAGCAUGAGCCCAGGGUGACACAGCAUGCUGGCAUUAGGAUGAGGACAAGUAUUCAGAGCUCAUUAGUUUGGGCAUUUUCAUUACAAGAUACUCCUGUAUAAGUAAUACAGGGAGAAAAAGGACCCAGGAUUCAGACAUAUUGAUGAGGGUUUGGUUCCACAUGCUUUUAAUAUCAGCAGAAUUGUAUUUCUGCAGUGACAGGACUCAGUCCAUCAAUUUGGGGGUACCUAGGGUCCUCCAACCAGCAAAAUGACCUUGGGAAGUCAGGAGAAUGUUGAGGCCACGUCAGAGCUGUGCUUCAAUGUUACACUGAGCUCACACUACGUCACCUAAGGGUGAAGUUCAACAAAUUUACCAAAGGCAAGAAGAAAGCCCCAGAAAACAAUGCUCAGGUGUGGGAGAAUAAUAUUCCCAAAACAAAUAACACAGAGAGUUCAAUAAUUUAUGCCAAGCUCAGCAGGAAUUUUUGCAAAACAUUAAAUAGCAGGGUUCUUAAUAAGCCCUGAAGAAAUAAGGGAGGAGAAGCAGCAGGAGCAAACACAAAACCAAAUCCAAACAUACGUAAAAGAAGGAAACAAAAAAGGAUAAGUUCACCCACACAGAGCUCAUCUUCGACUUGGCACUCUUUGUAUAGAAUAGUCAUAACCUGCGCUCUCCUACUGAGUGGACUGUAAGCUUCCUGAGGGCAGGGUCACAGGUGUAGUUACCACAGUUAAGUGCCUUUAUUAAAGGUCUGCUUCAUGAAAGCCCAAGCAAUGAAAUCAGAAAAAAAACUACCCCAAAAAUGUUCCUGCCAUUUCCUCUCUACCAAUUCAGGUGGCACUGGCCAUGUGCGAGACUCACUUUUGAUCAUGUUGACAUCAUUGGCCCCGUCUCCAAUGGCGAGCGUGAUGGCUUUCUUGUACCUCUUCACCAGGUCCACCACCAUGGCCUUCUGCUUGGGGGUGACCCGGCAGCAGAUGACUGCACUGCACUCACAGGCCAGGUCAACAAAGUUCUGCUGCCGCUGCUCUUUUUUAGCUUCCAUCCUCCUCUUACUUUGUGUCCGCAUUCGUCUUUCUUCUUCUGUCCUGGGGAACUUCAGUUUCAAAAUCUUACUUCUCUUGGUCUUUUUCUCAAGAAGAAUUUCAUUCUGUGAAAAUCAGAAAGGGAAAGGAUUCUAACCAUUUGGGGUUUAAUAACAAGAGUACCAUUCCGGGCUUCCCUGGGGUGGUGUAGUGGUUAAGAAUCCGCCUGCCAAUGCAGGGGACAUGGGUUCGAGCCCUGGUCCGGGAAGGUCCCACAUGCCGCAGAGCAACUAAGCCUGUGCGCCACAACUACUGAGCCUGCGCUCUAGAGCCCGUGAGCCACAACUCCUGAGCCUGCGGGCCACGACUACUGAAGACUGCGCACCUAGAGCCCGUGCUCUGCAACAAGAGAAGCCACCGCGAUAAGAAGCCCGCACGCCGCAACGAAGAGUAGCCCCUGCUUGCCACAGCUAGAGAAAACCCACGCACAGCGACAAAGACCCAACGCAGCCCAAAAUAAAUAAAUAAAUAUAUAUAUAUAUAUUUUUUAAAGUACCAUUCCCAAGACUUUAAUCAUCUGAAGGAUAAUUCUUGGGUUGUAUCA